UAUUUUCUUUGCACUGACUUUAGGGAGCCAGCCGCUUCCCGUGUUAGCACUCGGGUGCCAGGUGGCCAAAAACACGGGGCAAAGGUUUUCCUAGUUAAGUCGUGGUAUCCACAGCUGUAGCUCUGAGGAAGGAACAGGGCCAUUUGCGGCACUUCGUGCUGUGUGAAGGCAAGAUUUGCCCUCCACCUCUCGAACUCCCUUCUAUCCUGGGGGUGAGGGUGGGGAGCCUGCUCUUUCUCUCUCCCAAGCUUUAGUAGGAGAGGGAGAAGAGUGUGGGGCCCAGGCCUGGCCCAAGACCCGCUGAGGCAGGGCUGGUGAGGGUCUUGGUAACAGUCGCCGCAGGGUAAUUCGCAGCCUGUACUACAAGGACCCUGAGCAUUCCCCGGGCGGUACCUGAGCAGAUUAGGCCGAACAAACAACUUUCAUAUAGCCUCUGUCACAUUGGGCUAUAUUCCAAGGAUGAAGCCUGUGGUGUUCAAAUGUGGAAAUGGAGCUACAGAGAGCUAACUUUUUAAAUCCCUUGGUGCCCUAUCAUUGAUCCCUACACUGGAGAUUAACAUGGCAGGUCCCUGACUUUAGUCAUUUCCAUUUCACCCCUGUUGAGAUUCUGUCUCAUGAGUAACCUGACAGCCAGCUAGGCCCAACACAGUUUCAUGGGCUCACCACAUGUGAUCUUUUUGUCAUCGAGGGCCAGGUCAUCUCAGCUAUGAGCAAAGGGAGAAGUGUGGGCAUGGAGCUAGGAAGAUGGAGCAGACCCAUCAAGGUGAAAUGAGCAAGUCUGUGUUGUUGGAGAGUGAAAAAGCUGGCCAAAUCAUCUGCACAAUGUCCCUUGCCCAGCAGUUCUGUGUGAAAACCAAAAUCAUGCUUGGAAUUUCCAGAUUUCUCCAGUGCUUGCGGUUCCAACAUUUCCUCGUGGUGGCACAGACCGGCAACCUAGCCAGUCUUGGUGAACUGUCAAGAUCCAAAGUACAGCAGGAGACCUUCCUCGAGGAAAGAGUCUAUUUGUGAUGCUGGGAACACAUGUGGAAGUGACCUGUGCAGUCUCCCGAAUGACAAGCAGAGCUCUACUCUUAGUCUUCGGACUGUGAAAUCACCACAAAGAUGCCCAUGGAGGUGGAGAUGUACUCAGUGUCCAGGUGUAACUCAUUCGGGCUCUGUGAGGGCUGCCACAUGAGGAAGAAAACUCCUCUUUGGCAUCUG
rnacentral:lncRNA from 1 species